rnacentral:rRNA from 1 species
AGGGUUCGAUUAUGGCUCAGGAUGAACGCUGGCGGCGUGCCUAACACAUGCAAGUCGAACGAAGCGGUUUUGGUGAAGUUUUCGGAUGGAACCGGAACUGACUGAGUGGCGGACGGGUGAGUAACGCGUGGGUAACCUGCCUCAUACAGGGGGAUAACAGUUAGAAAUGACUGCUAAUACCGCAUAAGCGCACGGGACCGCAUGGUUUUGUGUGAAAAGCCGAGACGGUAUGAGAUGGACCCGCGUCUGAUUAGCUGGUUGGUGGGGUAACGGCCCACCAAGGCGACGAUCAGUAGCCGACCUGAGAGGGUGACCGGCCACAUUGGGACUGAGACACGGCCCAA